AAGCUCGUAGUUGAAUUUCGGGGUUAGUAGGUUGGUCAUGCCUCCGGUAUGUACUGGUCUCACUGAUUCCUCCUUCCUGAUGAACCGUAAUGCCAUUAAUUUGGUGUUGCGGGGAGUUUGGACUGUUACUUUGAAAAAAUUAGAGUGUUUAAAGCAAGCUAACGCUUGAAUACAUUAGCAUGGAAUAAUGAAAUAGGACGUUCGAUCCUAUUUUGUUGGUUUCUAGGAUUGACGUAAUGAUUAAUAGGGAUAGUUGGG
rnacentral:rRNA from 1 species